UUUUAAGAACUCUGUAAAACGCCCUAAUUAUUUUAUUCCAAACGCAGCAGAUCGAAGUCAUCCGACGAAGAAGAAUAGAGAUAUCCGAUCCGCCGAAGAAGAAGAAGAAUUCUGCGGCGAAGAAGAAAAAGAAGAGUCGUACAACAAAGAAGAAGAAGAGUUGUCCAACAAAGAAGAAGAAGAGUUUUCCGUUGAGAUUUGUUUUCAUUUUCCCCUCUUUCUUCAUCAGGGCACGUUCAAAUUGAGAACCCAGUACAAACGCAACGAAGAGUUCUCAAUUUUAAGAAGAAGGUAAUUUCCAUUCUUUCUUCUCUUUAAUAUUCUUAAUUUGUAUGAAAAGUUCUCAUCUAAUUAACUGUAUUCAAGCCCUAACCCCUACUUUUAUAAUACUAAAACCAUAUUUGUGUUUGUCUGAUAUAAAAAUUCAAAAUACUAAAUUUAAUGUAAACUAGGAAGUUGUAUACUAUUCAAUUUUAAUUGCCCUGGACUUCUGCACAAAGAUCUUGAAGGUCUUUUCAUAUGUGGCAUUGGCAAAUGCCCUUUCACUUCUUCUUGUCUUUGUAUUUGCUAAACAACUAUGGUACAAAGUAAAAUCUGAUAAUACAUACUGGGAGAAAAAUAAGUUAUGGUCAUUCCCUUUCACUCUUGAUUGAUUAAUGAAUUUUAAUUUUCAACUUCUUAGGUAAAUUUUUUGACAAUUGUUUUUAUCACUAACGCCAUAAAUUUGUCGAGUGCAUAUUAUUUAUAUUUUGGGACAAAUUUUACUAAAUACAUAUCAGAUCAUGCCAUUAGUUUCAGGUUUUGCUCCUCUUAGAAGAUAAUCUACACAACUAGAUUGUUCAUUCAUUAUGAGUGUUUGUACAUACGUAUAUUACUUCUUGCUUUUGAAUUGAUUGUUAGCAAUAGUAAAUCUGAUUGAUCAUUGCAAACAUUUUUUAUUGAAUGAUCUUUAUAGGCUUUGUAUUUACAACUCUUUUUAUUGAAUGAUCUUUAUAGGCUUUGUAUUUACUAAACAUUGGUCAUUAAAUUGCAAUCAUAUAUUUACUAGUUUCAUUGCUGGAUUGCAUGAGGUGUAUGUAUCUAUGUGGCAUAUGAAUGAUACGCUAGUGAAACGAUAUAAGGUUAGCUUGAUCUAGUUCCAAUAGAGGUGAUAGCGGACCAUUCUUGUUGCUAUUUCAUUGUUAUUCUUUGGAAUCCUCAUAGUACACUCUAUGCCUUUUCUAUUCUACAUUAAUUUAAAUUCAGUAUUAAUUCCUUCAAUUUAGAGGUGUUUGAAUUAGUAAUAUAAAUUUAUAAAUAACAAAAUUUAGUCGUCUGAAAUAGUGUAAAGAUUGGCCUACAAAGUAUGGUAAGGGCUCAAAAGUUUCUCUGUAAUAAAGCAAACUCCAAGAGCCUGUUUAGACAAAUCUAGAGUGUGUAUGUUAAAUUGCACUUCUGAUUAUAUUGAGUGUAUUUGUAAUCAUAUGAGAUGCUUUGACUUAACAUUUCAGCAAUUAUAGUCCUUGAGUUGUUUGGUUUUUUUAGUAAAUGAAAACCAGUUGGUUAGCCCUUACCAAUUAUAUGGUUUCCCCUUAGUCUUCUACAACUUGUUAUCGUUUUCUGCUUAUCGAGCUCAAGAGCGUCAUCAUCCUUUUAGCAGUCGUUUCGAAAGAUGAGUUUCAUUAUGUUGCAUGAUGCAGUUUAGAAGGAGCUAUUCUUGUUUUAUUUUCAUAAGUCAUGGUUAGAUCUUAGUUGUUUUGUUUUACAAGAUUGUAAUAGUACUUGUUGAAUUUACUGAUCAAAUGUUGAUGAAAUUUUCAUGAUUAUUGAUUGAUCAUGUUUAUGUUCAACUGUUGUAUUCAAUUCAUUUUUCUAUGUAUUUCUAAAUGUAAAUGUUGCAGUAGGAUAAUUGGGAUUGAUAGU